AUGGCGGACAGAGUGAUGAAGCUGGCGUCGCAGCGGGCGGUGGUGAUCUUUGGGGCGAGCAACUGCUUCAUGUGCCAUGCAGUGAAGACGCUGUUCACAGAGCUGGGCGUGAGCUGGACGGUGCACGAGCUGGACAAGGACCCCCGCGGGAAGGACGUCGAGAGGGCGCUCGUUGGCAUGGUCGGACGGAGCCCGCCCAUCCCAGCCGUCUUCAUCGGCGGCAGGCUUGUCGGCACCACCGACCAGGUCAUGACACUGCACGUCGGUGGCCAGCUCGUGCCGCUCCUCCGCCAGGCCGGCGCCCUCUGGCUCUGA
rnacentral:rRNA from 1 species